GAUGAAGAACGUAGCGAAAUGCGAUAAGUAAUGUGAAUUGCAGAAUUCAGUGAAUCAUCGAAUCUUUGAACGCACCUUGCACCCUUUGGCAUUCCGAAGGGUAUGCUCGUUUGAGUGUCAUUGUACUCUCACACUCUCCGAUCCUAUGGAUUCGGGGAGCGGUGGACUUGGGUGUUGCUGCCUUUCCUUGUGGCUCACCUCAAAUGUGUCAGUGCACCUCUUGGUUGGACAUAGUACGGCGUGAUAAGUGUCUUCGCCGGCACCUCGCAAGAGGGUGGCCGAUCGGGAGCUCUGUGCUUUCAAACCGUCUUCGGACAAUUGCUGACAACUUGACCUCAAAUCGAGUAGGACUACCCGCUGAACUUAAGCAUAUCAAUAAGCGGAGGA
rnacentral:misc_RNA from 1 species